ACUCAAAGCUUCCCAUGGCCCUGUCUUGGGUGGGGAUUGGAGCUGGGCCUUGAGCUGGUGACAGAUUUAUGGGAUUUUUCCCAGAGCCUGGAUGGUGUUGCUAGUUUCCAGUGGAACAGGAUCCCACGAGGGUGAGUGGCUUUGGAGCUGUUGCCUGUGGAGCCACGUGAUGGGCUGAACUCACAGCUCUGGAGCAGAACCCAUCCCUCCAGAAGAGCAGCCUUUGCUCCAGGAAGUGCACACAGACACUGCAAGAGCUGAUUUUUUUCCUUUUCUUUCAACCUUCCACCCCUGGAUUUGCUUUGUUCCAACUUUCCAUGGAUCCUGCAGCUUUUGGGCAGCUCUGACACCACAAUUCUCAGGCCAAGGAGUUUGGUUUUCAUGGUGUUUCAGCAUUGUCAGGCUAACAACUCCAGCAUGUGCAGCACUGUGGAGGAUCCAUCUGAUUGUUCCUGAGCCUCUUGCUUUUCUUCUGGAGCUGCUGGAAGGGAAACUUUCUCCACAUCAGCACAGGUCUGGGGAGGGCUACAGCUCCUGCCCUGCUGUCAUCUCUGUUCCUGAGUGCCUUCCAUGACCCUUUGGUGAACAGUGACCUCUUGUCAGCCUUGAGAUCUGUGUUUGCCUCUUCUGAUGUCUCCAGCUCUGUCUUGAAACACUCACAGGAACUGAGUGUGGGAUUUGUAAUUCCUGAAUCCUGCCUGGUUGAUCCUAGAGGAGGAGGAGGAGGAGGAGGAAGGGGAGAGCCUCCUGUCUGUGCCACUCUUCAGCUCCUCACAUUCCUCAGGCUCCAGUUCCAGCUUUGGACCCCCACUCUGCUGCAGGGCUCAGAAAUGCCUCGUCGCUCAUGGGAAGCAGGAAGGCAGCAGUGGGAGUGAGGGUUUCACAAUCUGCUCCCCACUCAGCUGCUGUGGGGCUGCUUGGUGCUUCCCAGCAGGGAAAGAGAGAAAUGCUGAAUUAGAGAGAGAAAUGCUGAAUUUCUGACCAGAAAACACAGAAUCCUUCAAGGAGAAACACCUUCAGCAUGGCCCAGAAAAGCCAGACUGGUGGAACUGAGAAAAAUGGGUCCUCCCUCCUGUACAGCAAGAGUGAUCUCAAGGAAGGAGCCCUGCAGUGGGUGCCAGGUAAGGGAGCAGCUCAUUGCUAAAGGGAGAGGCAGAUCUGAUCUCAGUGUCCUUAAAAUAACCACUGACAGAUUUUACAAAAGAUGCUUUUUAACAGCAUCUCACUUGUGAAGGUACCAAAACACUGUGGAUGUUUCAGCAGUUU
rnacentral:lncRNA from 1 species